CUUCAGCUCAGUGACUUGUGGCUGGAGCUCCCGUGAUUCCCACUCUCGGCUUUUGCACACAUGGGAGGACGCCUUUUCACCCCCCUCUGCCCGUGUAAACUCUGCACAUUCCUUCUCCUUGGCCCUGCCUAGCUACCUCUUCCUCCAGGAAGUCUUCCUUGAUUAGACCAGAGGACAGAGUCAAGUGACCAGCCAGCCCAGCCUUUGGCUGCUUGGGUCUGAUCCUCCUUGUAUGAAGCUAUGUCCCUCCCACCUCAGCCUCCUGUUGUCUCACCUCAGGCCCCUGUUGUCUAGGGGUGUCAGAGGUGGGGGGAGGCAGUUCCCAGCGUGACUCCUCACCGGCCUGCUAGGUCUGAAGCUGGCUCUCCCCCUGCCUCCUCUCCAGCUCUCCCACGUGCCUGCGCUGCCCUGAUGCCCCUCGAGGCAGGGCGAAGUCCGGUGCCCUCACCCAAGUCUCACUUUUUGUGCUGCUUGGCCUCCUGCGGAUCUCUCCACCUGCUCUCUGGGCAGAAGGCGAAGGCUGCUCAGGCCCUGGCUCCAGGACCCAGAGGUUCUGUUACUCCCAGAAGACAUUCUUGCUCCUCCAGCUUUCUGGAACAGGGCUGGCACCUUUCCUGUUCUUUCUCUACCGAAAACGUGUGGAUUUCACAGGGUUACAUUGUAGGCUACGCCCGAAUCACGCUAAAAGCCCCACCCAGCAACUGCAGAGUUGAAAGUAGGUUGCAGCACACUUUACUUCAGUUAGACUUGAAGAGGAACUUCCAGCCUGGAGUCGAUUUUGAAAAAAGGGUGCAGAGUCCUAGCUUGAAUGUUAUUAAGAUAGAGUGGCAGGGGCUUGGAAUAAUUUUCAAGAUGACUUCCCUCAUGCUCAGAGUGAUGAGCAGAAACACUGUACUCUUAUUGUAUUCCAGGGAGCCUAGUAUCACAGGGCAACGUCUGCCGGGCAGUCUCCUCCCCUAGCCCAGGGCAGAGGAGCGGGGGAGAUGGGAGGUGUCCAGUGUCUGCGAUGGGCUGUCUUUCUCCUUAUCCUAUCCUAUCUCCUUAGGCCAAGCUCCCAGGUGAGUCAGGUGGCUGGAACCGGUGGAACUUGCUCUGGGAUGAAGAUGGAAAGCAUUUGGCUCCCCUUCAGAUCUGGUCCGCGGGCCUGGAGCCCCCAGCUUGGCUCUCCUCCCAGUUUUCAGACCGCAGCAGUCCACACAGUGGCCAAGAGCUGGGGCUUAAGAAUCAUGCAGACUCUAGUUGAAAGCCCAGCUCUUCUCCUCAUUGCUUGUGGGACCACCUGGGCUUCUGGAUGUUCUUUUCACUUGCCAGUAAAACUGCUUCUGUCAUGACUUCCCUGCGGGGUUACUGGGAGGAAGCUGAGAUAAUAUACGUGUUAUCACUGCACCUGAGACUCGCCAGAAGACCCCCUAAGCUCGGCUUACCAGUCACUUCUGGGAGGCUAGUCUUAACCCCGGGGCUAAGGGCUUCCUCUGGGCCACACCAGCAUCUCUGUACUCACUGCUCUGUGUUGCCUGUUUCCUUGUCUGUGUGCAGCUCCAGCAUCAGGUCUGGGAGCUCCUCGAGGGCAGGCAAGGGGUGACUUUCCUCUCUGAGUCACCAGCACCCACGGUUGGGCCCAGAAAAGGGAAGACCGAGGGGUGGUGAAGAGACCUGGAGGGAGAGACUAAAUCCUAGUCCAUACCCGUCUGCCCCACAUAGGUACACACACA
ensembl:lncRNA